rnacentral:misc_RNA from 1 species
GAAGCAAAGGAACAACCUGGGAGGAGAUUCUUAGGGCACGGCGGAGCUGAUCGGUGAUAGAGAGGAACAGGGUGGAGACUAAUGAGAGGGAUUCAAAGUGACAAUGGUGGUCGAGGGAAUUGAAAACCAAUUCCCAGCAUUCCUGUGGCAAAUCCACGGAUUUCUCAGUCAUCUUGUCGUGUGGAUUGAGAGAUGGGAUGGGGAGGAGGCGUAGAGAGCAGAGAAUAGAUGGGAUUCUGAGAUUUGAGCG